GAUGAACGCUAGCUACAGGCUUAACACAUGCAAGUCGAGGGGCAUCGGGAGAGUAGCUUGCUAUUCUUGCCGGCGACCGGCGCACGGGUGAGUAACGCGUAUCCAACCUUCCCUGGGGUCCGGAAUAGCCCGGUGAAAACCGGAUUAAUGUCGGAUGUCGUGCGAUGAUGGCAUCAGAGUUGCACGAAAGGCUUGCCGCCUCGGGAUGGGGAUGCGUCUGAUUAGGCAGCAGGCGGGGUGACGGCCCACCUGGCCUUCGAUCAGUAGGGGUUCUGAGAGGAAGGUCCCCCACACUGGAACUGAGACACGGUCCAGACUCC
rnacentral:rRNA from 1 species